rnacentral:rRNA from 1 species
UUCACAUGUUCACAUGAUUAAAGGUAUUCCGGUAGACGAUGGGGAUGCGUUCCAUUAGAUAGUAGGCGGGGUAACGGCCCACCUAGUCUUCGAUGGAUAGGGGUUCUGAGAGGAAGGUCCCCCACAUUGGAACUGAGACACGGUCCAAACUCCUACGGGAGGCAGCAGUGAGGAAUAUUGGUCAAUGGGCGCAGGCCUGAACCAGCCAAGUAGCGUGAAGGAUGACUGCCCUAUGGGUUGUAAACUUCUUUUAUAAAGGAAUAAAGUCGGGUAUGUACACCCGUUUGCAUGUACUUUAUGAAUAAGGAUCGGCUAACUCCGUGCCAGCAGCCGCGGUAAUACGGAGGAUCCGAGCGUUAUCCGGAUUUAUUGGGUUUAAAGGGAGCGUAGAUGGAUGUUUAAGUCAGUUGUGAAAGUUUGCGGCUCAACCGUAAAAUUGCAGUUGAUACUGGAUAUCUUGAGUGCAGUUGAGGCAGGCGGAAUUCGUGGUGUAGCGGUGAAAUGCUUAGAUAUCACGAAGAACUCCGAUUGCGAAGGCAGCCUGCUAAGCUGCAACUGACAUUGAGGCUCGAAAGUGUGGGUAUCAAACAGGAUUAGAUACCCUGGUAGUCCACACGGUA